UAGUCCACGCCGUAAACGAUUGUCACUCGAUAUACGUACUUUGCGUACGUGUGUCCAAGCGAAAGUGAUAAGUAUCCCACCUGGGGAGUACGUUCGCAAGAAUGAAACUCAAAGGAAUUGACGGGGGCCCGCACAAGCGGUGGAGCAUGUGGUUUAAUUCGAUGAUACGCGAGGAACCUUACCAGGGCUUAAAUGCAAUAUGACAGGGGUGGAAACACCCUUUCCUUCGGGCAGAUUGCAAGGUGCUGCAUGGUUGUCGUCAGCUCGUGCCGUGAGGUGUCAGGUUAAGUCCUAUAACGAGCGCAACCCCUGUGGUUAGUUGCCAGCGAGUGAUGUCGGGAACUCUAGUCAGACUGCCGGUGCAAACCGUGAGGAGGUGGGGAUGACGUCAAAUCAUCACGGCCCUUACGUCCUGGGCUACACACGUGCUACAAUGGUAGGGACAGAGAGCAGCCACUACGCGAGUAGGAGCGAAUCUAUAAACCCUAUCUCAGUUCGGAUCGG
rnacentral:rRNA from 1 species